rnacentral:rRNA from 1 species
AUCUAUGGCCAUACCUAAACGUGCCCCAUCUCAUCUGACCUCAGAAGCUAAGCAGGGUUGGGCCUGGUUAGUACUUGGAUGGGAGAGCUCAAACUCCGUAGCAA